GAGGCCUCAGCGGAGGAGGGUGUGUGGAGCUUCCACUUGCUCCCGUGGGCAGACUUUGUGAAAAGGCAGAGACAGAACACCUCAAAGGCACUUUCCUGUCUCCUAGGAGAGCUCCUCAUUGGCCUGUCCACGUUAAUGAAGCAGGCACUGAAAGAGGAAAUUGGCUGGAUUUGAGACACAGUAUCUAUUUUGGAGUAUUAGGUGGUUCGGGAAGAGAGAAAUGGAAAAAUACCUCAAGGGAAAGAGAAGACAUGAUGGGCAGUGGCUCAAGAACCAGAAGCAGCUGUUAACGCAAGUAUUUAUUUACCUGGGAGAAACACGACGGCAUCGCAACGAGAUGGCCAGGACUUUCCUGCGUCAUAAGGUGGUGCCUCAGAG